rnacentral:rRNA from 1 species
AGCGAACGUUAGCGGCGGGCCUAACACAUGCAAGUCGAACGCGAAAGGUCUUCGGACUGAGUAGAGUGGCGCACGGGUGAGUAACACGUAGGUAAUCUACCCUUUGGCGGGGGAUAACGUUCCGAAAGGAGCGCUAAUACCGCAUAAGACCACGGAGUCUCCGGACGCUGUGGGAAAAGGUGGCCUCUUCUUGAAAGCUAUCACCGAAGGAUGAGCCUGCGUCCCAUCAGCUAGUUGGUAAGGUAAUGGGCUUACCAAGGCGAAGACGGGUAGCUGGUUUGAGAGAAUGAUCAGUCACACUGGCACUGGAACACGGGCCAGACUCCUACGGGAGGCAGCAGUGAGGAAUAUUGGGCAAUGGGCGAAAGCCUGACCCAGCCACGCCGCGUGAGUGAUGAAGGCCCUCGGGUCGUAAAGCUCUGUGGAGAGGGACGAAAACCCUGGUUUCAAAUAGGCUCCAGGCUUGACGGUACCUCUUUAGCAAGCACCGGCUAACUCUGUGCCAGCAG